rnacentral:rRNA from 1 species
UUGGAGGGCAAGUCUGGUGCCAGCAGCCGCGGUAAUUCCAGCUCCAAUAGCGUAUAUUAAAGUUGUUGCAGUUAAAAAGCUCGUAGUUGAAUUUCGGGAUCAAUAUAUUGGUCAUGCUUAGGUAUGUACUGGUAUUAUUGACUUCUCCCUUCUGAAGAACCAUGAUGUCAUUAAUUUGAUGUCGUGGGGAAUCAGGACUGUUACUUUGAAAAAAUUAGAGUGUUUAAAGCAGGCUUUCGCUUGAAUACAUUAGCAUGGAAUAAUGAAAUAGGACGUUUGAUUCUAUUUUGUUGGUUUCUAGGAUCGACGUAAUGAUUAAUAGGGAUAGUUGGGGGCAUUAGUAUUCAAUUGUCAGAGGUGAAAUUCUUGGAUUUAUUGAAGACUAACUACUGCGAAAGCAUUUGCCAAGGAUGUUUUCAUUAAUCAAGAACGAAAGUUAGGGGAUCGAAGACGAUCAGAUACCGUCGUAGUCUUAACCAUAAACUAUGCCGACUAGGGAUCGGAUGAUGUUAAUUUUUUAAUGACUCAUUCGGCGCCUUACGGGAAAC